rfam:Phaseolus vulgaris cultivar G19833 chromosome 2, whole genome shotgun sequence.
AUACUUUUGGGAUGUUCUUGUCUUCAACAUUCACUUCAUCCAUCCGUUUCACUUUGUCAGCUCUGUUUUUUGUGUUUUGCCGAUCGUUGUAGGGUGGAAUAUCU